CGAAGGGCUCCAGGCUCCGUGUGCUGGGCUACCAAGGAGUCAAGGGGAAAAGCAAGAAUUGCAGGAAUUGCUCAUUCCAUUUCCUGUGGUUUCAUAAUUUUGCUGCUUACCAAUUUUGAAUUUCACAAAGCUUGUGGUUUCCCAACAGCCUUCAUCUGUGGGGAGGAUACAUUUCAGUAGCGAACUGAACUGACACAAAAUUCCCAACGAAAAUAAUACGACAUCAGCUGGCA
rnacentral:lncRNA from 1 species